UUUUCGUAGGUGAACCUGCGGAAGGAUCAUUAUUGUAUAACCGAGGUGCGAGGGCUGUCGCUGACCCGAAAGGUCGUGCACGCCCAAGUGCCCUCACACACAUCCAUCUCACCCCUAUGUGCACCACCGCGUGGGUCCCCCUUUGGCUUGUUCGGAGGGGGGCUUACGUUUUCACACAAACUUUGUAUGCAGUGUAGAAUGUAUUUUUUGUUUUUGCGAUCACGCAAUCAAUACAACUUUCAACAACGGAUCUCUUGGCUCUC
rnacentral:misc_RNA from 1 species